rnacentral:rRNA from 1 species
CCUACGGGAGGCAGCAGUGAGGAAUAUUGGUCAAUGGACGAGAGUCUGAACCAGCCAAGUAGCGUGAAGGAUGACUGCCCUAUGGGUUGUAAACUUCUUUUAUAUGGGAAUAAAAUGUUCCACGUGUGGGAUUUUGUAUGUACCAUCUGAAUAAGGAUCGGCUAAAUCCGUGCCAGCAGCCGCGGUAAUACGGAGGAUCCGAGCGUUAUCCGGAUUUAUUGGGUUUAAAGGGAGCGUAGGUGGAUUGUUAAGUCAGUUGUGAAAGUUUGCGGCUCAACCGUAAAAUUGCAGUUGAAACUGGCAGUCUUGAGUACAGUAGAGGUGGGCGGAAUUCGUGGUGUAGCGGUGAAAUGCUUAGAUAUCACGAAGAACUCCGAUUGCGAAGGCAGUUCACUGGACUGCAACUGACACUGAGGCUCGAAAGUGUGGGUAUCAAACAGGAUUAGAUACCCGUGUAGUC